AUGGUUGAAAACCAAUCGAAUUCAAGGAUGUUCACUACUCUUCCGCCGAAUUACCCUCCACGAUUCCAGGCUUUUAGUCCCUUGCCAAAUCAUAUCUAUCAAACGCCUCCACGAUUCCAGGCUUUUAGUCCUUUGUCGGAUAAUAUUUAUCAAGCGCCUCCAGUAAUUCCUGCGCAACAGCCAGCUGGUGCUGUUAAUAGGCCUAGACCACGUAGUGUUUCUCCUGUGCCAUCGACAAGCUCUAUCAGUACCGAGCAUGCGUUUAGCAUCCUUAUGGAUAGGUUUGAGGCUCUCGACACUAAAGUUUCUGAAAAAUUCAAUGCUUUGGAGAGUAAAAUUCCGUCUCUAGUAGAAAAUAGUUUACUGGAUCAAGUGAAAAAGGAGUCGCUUAACGACUUAACCCCUAAAUUAAAUAAAGAAAGUAAUCUCUCAUACAGUUCUGUUAUCAUACUAGAUUUCAAACUUAGUGUGACGACAUGAAAUUGAAAUUAGUUCUACAUCCAUAAAUUAGGUCGUUUGUGGAAUAAGGUUUCCCCAGCCCCCUAGGAUUUUAAUUAUAGCUUAGACCUAACUUGUUGAGAUUCACCGCAUAAAUUAACUGCCUAACUACACCCAAUAACUUGUCUGCACAAAUGGAAAUUUACACACACACCCCUAAUUAUAAGUAGCUUUAAGUAAAUUUAAGUAAUUUCUGAUGAAACAUCAUCAAACUAGUCCUCCCGGACUAAAUAACAAAGACAAAAAUAAAAUUGAAGUAUCAAUGAUAAGUUAAGGAUUGAUAUAAAUUGACUAUUCUUUCCAUAAUUGUUUGGCUAUGAAAUUUUCAAAUUUUUCCCACAGCUAAAAUCUAAAGUUUUAUAUUACCAAGUUUCGAUGUACUGCCUUACCUCGAUGUAAACUAUUUAAGUCAACUUUGUUUUUGUCGAAAAUUUUUAUACUGUUUCUUUUGUAAAUAUGUUCAUUGUUUCAAAACAAAAUUUUUUGAAUAAAUUACGACAGAGCCGGCACGGACUUAAAUUAAAUUAACUUAAAUUAAAUUAAAAGGAAUAUCUGCGAGGAGAUGAGUUUUCCCAUACUUUGUUUGAGAAAGCAUAUCUCUAAGCUUUGAUUAGAUUCCUCCAAAUUUUUUUUUCUCUCACUAUCUCUUUUGUGGUAUUUUACCUGUGCUACAUGGUUUCAUCUCUCUCGGGGAACCAGACUUCCAAGUCGCCUGACUUUGUCUGACGAUUUGGGAGUCAGGGGGGGUAAUCUGUAGCGCGGUAAGGUACCUCGUAGUUUCGCCAGAGGGCGACACCUCCCCGGUGGUUCCGGGCGGGCCAUCUCUGAUUGGUUGAAGUUGUCGGAUGAUGAUGGAUCGACCAAUCAUGGAUGGCGUGCCCUGAGCCGCUGGGGAAGUCAGUUCGAGUUUGGCCCGGGUCAAGACCGCGUCCGAAAUGUGAGUAUUAUUUUUGAAAGGUUGGGGACUUGGUCCCCAACUAUAUUUAGAUUCCUUUUCGAUAGUUUACGAUUGUGUGUGAUUUUCCGGUCGUGCUCCGUCUGUAAAACAGACUUAGUUGUCGUUUUCAUUCCAGACCUUCUUUUUCUCUGGUGUUCUGGGCCCCACAGCCGGGUGGCCUAGUCACAAAUAAUCACUUGCAUUCUCAUUCCCAGAAGGAGGACCAGGAGGUACAGCGUCUAUCUCCAAUUUUGCAAUCGGUUAUCUACGCUGUAGACACGGCAGCGUCGCUCUUUGCAACCUCCGCACAGCAGUCGAGACUGGCUGACUGGAUGACGCGACGCGGCUCCCUGCCCCGCGUAGCCCCGCAUGGCCCCGCUCCGGGCCAGUACGCUGCUCGAGGCGUAGCGUACUAGCGCUGCUAUUCCCGUGGCCUCAUGUACCAUUACCACACUUGGAUUGCAUUUUGCUAAAAGAAACAAAGAGCAUUCCAAUGUUGCUCAGAUUGUGCCAUUUUUUUUUACCUCGCAAAUAUAAACUGAUCAUUCAAAGUUUAACUCUAAACAAGUUUAUCUUACUCCCAAUUAACUAUAAUUUCAAGAUGAAAAUUACCCUGUAAAUUUGAUUUUUUUCAGGAUUUCAGUAAUAUUAUUGCAAGGAAUGCAAAUUGCACAAUCUUAGCAACAUUGAAAUGCACUUGGUUCCUUUGUUGCAAAGCGCAACCCACCUGAGCAAAGCUGUCUGCACUCUG
rnacentral:lncRNA from 1 species